UCUGGCUCAGGACGAACGCUGGCGGCGUGCCUAAUACAUGCAAGUCGAGCGAAUCGAUGGGAGCUUGCUCCCUGAGAUUAGCGGCGGACGGGUGAGUAACACGUGGGCAACCUGCCUAUAAGACUGGGAUAACUUCGGGAAACCGGAGCUAAUACCGGAUAUGUUCUUUUCUCGCAUGAGAGAAGAUGGAAAGACGGUUUCGGCUGUCACUUAUAGAUGGGCCCGCGGCGCAUUAGCUAGUUGGUGAGGUAAUGGCUCACCAAGGCGACGAUGCGUAGCCGACCUGAGAGGGUGAUCGGCCACACUGGGACUGAGACACGGCCCAGACUCCUACGGGAGGCAGCAGUAGGGAAUCUUCCGCAAUGGACGAAAGUCUGACGGAGCAACGCCGCGUGAACGAAGAAGGCCUUCGGGUCGUAAAGUUCUGUUGUUAGGGAAGAACAAGUACCAGAGUAACUGCUGGUACCUUGACGGUACCUAACCAGAAAGCCACGGCUAACUACGUGCCAGCAGCCGCGGUAAUACGUAGGUGGCAAGCGUUGUCCGGAAUUAUUGGGCGUAAAGCGCGCGCAGGUGGUUCUUUAAGUCUGAUGUGAAAGCCCACGGCUCAACCGUGGAGGGUCAUUGGAAACUGGGGAACUUGAGUGCAGAAGAGGAAAGUGGAAUUCCAAGUGUAGCGGUGAAAUGCGUAGAGAUUUGGAGGAACACCAGUGGCGAAGGCGACUUUCUGGUCUGUAACUGACACUGAGGCGCGAAAGCGUGGGGAGCAAACAGGAUUAGAUACCCUGGUAGUCCACGCCGUAAACGAUGAGUGCUAAGUGUUAGAGGGUUUCCGCCCUUUAGUGCUGCAGCUAACGCAUUAAGC
rnacentral:rRNA from 1 species